ensembl:lncRNA
CUCAGAGAAUAUCAUAAAACAAUUGUUAUUUGUCACAGUUCCAAUAAUUAUUUCAGCAAUGAUCAAUAUUGGUAGUAGCUAUUUUAAUAAAUCCAAUGAAAGAUUAAUAGAUAUAACCAGACUACAUUUUGCAGAUGAAAGUUAUCUCCUUCUCUUCAGCUUCCACAACACUACUUUGUAAUUCUCUUACAUUCUACUUAAUACUAAUUAAGAUUUAUUCUAUGUGUUUCACACAGAAUCUAGAACAGGGCCUCUCACCUAGGAGGAACUUGAAGAAUAUUUGCUAAUUGAAAGAACAUGGCAGGAUGUUAUCCCUCCAGCUGCUUAUGAUAUUUACUUAAUCUGUUGAUUUGACAGAAAUGACCUGACACAAUGGAAAAAAAACUGGCUAAGAAUAAGAGGACCUGGAUUUCAAUCAUCUUUCUGUCACUUAUUACCUACUGUGUGACCUUGGGUAAAUCAUUUAUUCUCUGCUGGCUUCAGUUUGUUCAUCUAUAAAAUGGGGGAUUAGCUUAGAUGGUCUCUAAUGUUCCUUCUAGCCCUAAAUUCAUGAGAAUAAUUUUAUUUUUCUGGAGGAGGAGGAAGACAAUGAAAUACUCGUUUGCUUGAUUCUCUAUUAAGAAUAUUUAGUCAUCAGCAUGGUGACAACUGGGUCCCAAUGAGAUUGUGAACAGUAAUGAUUUAAUAGGGCCUAUUUAUCUUUAGGAAAAUGGCAAAUUCUCAGACUACAAACAAGUUUACAUUAAAAUAAUCCGGUAUACUUUCAAGAUUACAAAACUACAGUACUGUUUUAUUUUAGCGUAUCAUUUUAAAAUGAAUUUUACGUUUGUUAUUUGAUGAAACAAUCUUUCUCUCAAAAGGUGUUAUUUUCUCUUAAGAGGCUUCAAAGUAAAUUUAAUUUCUUUUUAGGAGAGAACUAACAUUACCUGGUCACCGCUAGAUAAUUUACUCUCCAACACCUUUUUUAUAAACAUAUUUUGGUAUUUAACUAUUCCUGUUUUAAAGCCCAAACUCUCACAAGAAAGAAUCCUUUGUGACUUCAAAAUAAAAUUUGAUUUGGCUUAUUUCCUGAACAGUUCUAAUUAUUUUUAGAAAACAAAGAUAUUAGAAUUAUUUUAGGUAAAUGGCUUACUAGAAAAUAUUCUUCCUCAUUUCUCAUUAGCUUAUCAGUAGAAAUCUUAGAGAAUACUAAGAAAAUACAGAGGUAGCCUUAAUCUAAGUGUAACAUGACAACUACAUACCCCAGUAAAAAUGAAAGAUGUACCUUUGGAGAAUAAAGGCAAUGAAGAUGUGUUAGUUAAAAUGAAUAAUAUAGAUACUCAAUAAGAAUUUAAAAUACUGCAGUGGCACUGUGGAAAAAGCAUUACUUUAAGAAUUAGGAAAACCUGGGUCUAAUAUAGCCUCUGCUACUAAUUACCUAUCUGACCUUGAAUGAGACAGAUUGUUUUAUCAUCUAUAAAAGGAAUGGAAACAGGUGGUGUCAAAGGUCCCUUUCGUGACUGAAAUUAUAUGAUUCACUGUAGCUCUUACAUAAUCAAGACAUGAUUUCAGCUAGGUGUUUGUUAAAUGAUGCUUAAAAAAUAAACCAGGAUUUAUUAUACUGAAAUACAAAAGUAUCUGUGACUAAGGAAUUUGAAAAACCCUGUUCUACCUGAUGCUUUGAACCCUCUGCUUAGCAUGGGAUUAUACUGUGUAAAGUGAUACUAGGUUUUAGAUUUUUUUUUCUUUUUAGCAUGUAGAAUUACUUGUAAUCCCCUGCUUCUGCCCUCCACUUACUUUAAGUAAGGCUAUAAUUUCUGGAUGGAGGUCUUUUACCUGCUACUCUCUCCAAGUUAUUUUCCUCACAGUAGUGCCUUUGUUCACAAGUGCAACCAAGAACUAAAUCACAGAGUGAAGAGGAUACUUAUUUCUGUAUAUAAUCAAAAUAAUUUAUUACAUUUGUGUUAUUAUGACUCAAAGAAUAUAAAGAGAUAAAAUAUACAAUAACUACAAACUUUGCCUUCAAUCCUACUUUAUGAAUACAAAAUGUAUUUGUUAUUUCAGAAUAAUCUUUCUGUGGAUUAUUGUGUUAUUUACUAUUUUCACCACUAAAACUCAACCUCUUUAACAAGGUUUUAAGAAUAUAAAGUUCUAUUUAUCCCCAGGUUUUAUCAAGGUAUGAAGGUUUUUAUUAAAGAAGGACAAAGUGUGGUGGGUCUUUCCAAAUUGGGAGGGCUUCUUAUAGAUGUCACCAGACUGGUCACAGGGUAAUGGGAUUUUCAAUCAUCACAAGAUGCCUUAACUUCCAAGUUUUAGAAUAUGGCUGUGAUUUAUAUGGAAUAGGACACCCCAACCAUGAUAAAGUUAUUUAUCUCUGGAAAUAUUGCAGUAAAAAUAAAAAUUCCACAAUUUUAAAAAGUGUAAAAAAUCUUGUACUGGCUACCAUCAAACCUAACUGAUAUGAUACAAAGCUGCAAUGGGAAAGAGUUAAGUCUUCUUCCAAAUAUGAAAUACAUAUUUGUAUUAUACACAAGGCCAAGAGCAUACACACACACAUACACUCAUUCACUAAUUCUCCCUUAGUAAGAAAAAUAAAUCAAAAAUUUUGAAACUUUGUUGACUGAGAAACCUGUCUUGCCUUAAGAUUAAAUAGUCAAUUCUCCACAUUCAUGAAUUUAAUUUUCACAACUUCAAACAUUUAUGUGCAAUUUUGUCCCCAAAGAGCAGAACAAAUCCAUGGGGCUCUAAAGACCAAGAGUGCAGUCAGUGAUGCUUUUAGUUGGGGGGAAGGGAGGAGGAGAAACAAACAAAAAAAAGUGUUAGAUAAAUUUUGUGCUGGAAUGUUGGCUGUGAGUUUGGUAUUAAAGAAUUAAUGAUUCAUCAUAGCCAUAAAAAGAAUACAACAUCAUUACACUGCCAUCUAAUACAGUGAAAGGUAAGCUUCAGGUAAAAAAAUGUUUUAGUUUUAAGAACUGUGUUUGCAUUACAGUAUUUACACGUGUUAUGAGAAGUGAAUACUAUCUGAAAUCAAUUUUAAAAAAUUCAAAUAUAACCACAAAAGAUCACAGUAUUUUGGGGAAUUUCUACUAAAAAAUGUCAUUAUGUUACCAAUUUUAUUUUGUGCUCCUCAUUUUAUGAAUUAUUUCAUAGUUAUGUUAGGAAAAGUGAGUGCAUAUUUAUUAGAAUUAAUGCUUUGUUAUAAUUGUAUGCAAAAAUGCAUUUUCAGCAAUCUCAAACUUAAUAUUACAGUUAUUGGUGGUUAUGCAAAUCUAACCUCCUAUUUCUCAUUUGUGUUUUUGACUUUCAUAUUGUUUUCACGAAUGAUAUCCCUUUGAAAGUUGAAAAUAGACUAUAUAAAACUCUGAAUAUACAACAUUAGCACAUGGCCUUGUAAUUGUAAAAAGAAUAUAAAGAUAAAUUAAAACUGUACUGAUAACCUAUAAGUAACUUUUAAAAAAUAAUACCCUUAAUACUCAAGUUGAAUUUGGGAUAGCUUUUUUGGAGGCAGAGGACUGGAGUCAUUUCUUUCUCCUAAAGAUGGAAUUCACAAAGUAAUUUAAUUGAAUGUUUUGGUUAAGUGGGAUUUACAGUGAAAGUAGUCUUAGCUGUGGAGGGAGAAAAUGCAAGAUAUAAGAAUCUCUGUAGCUGAGCUAUAAAAUGGGGAUAAUAACAUUUGUACUACCUACCUCAUAUGACUUUGUGAGGAUAAAAUGCAUAAUUUAUAUAAAAUGUUUUGCAAACUAUAAAGUUUAAAAUAGUAUUAGCUAUUGUUAUUACUGAUACAAAUACCGUGUUCUUUUAAUUUAUUCCUGUCUUUUUUUUUUUUUUUUUUUGAUGUGAUGAAGGCACUGGAUACAUCCCUAUAUAUCAAAGGACAUGUAAAAAUGAUUAAGCUAGACUACACUAUUGUUGAUUUUUCAAUUACCUGUGAUAACCUCCCAAUCAUUACCACCUGCUCCCCAUGUCCAAAUAAAUCAAGGACAAGCUAUAAUGAGGGUCAUGAUGCAUUUACUUUUGUGUCUGAAUGGGAAUUUCUG